AAAGUCAACUAGACAGUCGCCGCUUUUUUGUCAAAAGUAUAACAAGACAAAUUAAGGGGAGGAAAGUCCGGGCUCUUAGGGUAGGGUGCCAGGUAACACCUGGGAAGUGAAAGCUUACGAACAGUGCAACAGAAAAAAACCGCUAUCUAUAAAGAAUAUUAGUUAGUAAGGGUGAAAAGGUACGGUAAGAGCGUACCGCUCAACUGGUAACAGUUGUUGGCAGUGUAAACUCCACCUAGAGUAAGGCCAAAUAGGGGAAUAUCUUUAAAAAAAGAAAAGUACAACCCGUGCUAAUAACCCCGGGUAGGCUGCUUGAAUCAAUAAGUAAUUAUUGAUCUAGAUGAAUGACUGUCCAUGACAGAACCCGGCUUAUAGGUUGACUUUAAAA
rnacentral:RNase_P_RNA from 1 species